rnacentral:rRNA from 1 species
AACGAACGCUGGCGGCGCGCCUAAUACAUGCAGGUCGAGCGAGAAGACGUAGCAAUACGUUUGUAAAGCGGCGAACGGGUGAGGAAUACAUGGGUAACCUACCCUCGAGUGGGAAUAACUAGCCGAAAGGUUAGCUAAUACCGCGUACGCUCCUUGGACUUCGGUUCAGGGAGGAAAGCGAUACCGUGGGUAUCGCGCUCUUGGAUGGGCUCAUGUCCUAUCAGCUUGUUGGUGAGGUAACGGCUCACCAAGGCUUCGACGGGUAGCUGGUCUGAGAGGACGAUCAGCCACACUGGCACUGCGACACGGGCCAGACUCCUAC